rnacentral:lncRNA from 1 species
GUUAAUACGUGCGUCUCUUCCUUCGCACAUUGAUCACCCCUGGGAAACCCAUCCCACACUCUCGCGUCUAACGCCCGUCUCGUCUUCCUACAUCGGGCGUGAACAAUUUCUCGUUUUUCUUUCGACUACGCGUCGUUCUUUCGUUCUUCGUCGCGGAUUUCUUUCCUCGCUCACGCGGACGCGGCGGCGGCGGCUUCCUUCGCCUUCUUCUUCUCGCCCUUGAGGUAGAACGUGUACGCGGUGGACACGAGGACCGCGAUGAAACCGACGAUGUACUUCCAGUUCAGCGCCUUAGGGAAGAGCACGAAAGAGAUCACG